AAACAGAGAGGAAGUGAAGGGGAGUGCAUCAACUUAGUAGGAGAGGUAGAAUAUAAAGAGAAUAGGUUAUAAGAAUAAGAUAAAAAGGGUUAGAGAGAGAUAUGUUUAACCUUGAGAUUAGAAAACAAUGAUUGAUUAAUUGUGUUUUGAGAUGAAUAAGUAAAGAAGAAAACAAUGAGGUAGAGAGUUUAUUUUCUAGCAGGAGAGAAAAGAAAACGAGAGUUUGGAUUAAGAGAAAGAUAGGAUAUAUGAUUUUGAUGAUGAUUAUGUUAAGAGAGAUGGUGUUCUUGAUGAAAUAAUGAUGUGACGAUCUUGAUGGAGAACUUGGCAGCGAAUUAAGGUUUGAGUAGCUUCUGUAUUACCCAGGGAACCCUUAGGUUACUGUUAUUUGUAUUAAUUUCUUAGUUUAUUAAAAUAUUUUUUGUGUGAAAUUCAAAAGUUAACAUUGAAAAUGGUUGUUCUAUGUCUUUCAAAGAUGUGAUUAUGGUGUUAACUAGGGUGACCGGUGGCUAAUAAAUUACAGAAUCAUAGGGGAAAAGGAUAAUAGUUCCAGUACAUAUGUGGGAUCAGAGAUGAUAAGCUAAUGUUGCAUCAAAAUGUUUGUACCAAUUUAUUAGGUGUAGUUUUUGUAUUGAAUUUGCAUCCAUUUGAUUUUCUUUGGUACUAUGUUAGCAAACAGUGUAUGUAGCUCAUUGUAAUUAAUAAAUUUAAGGAAGAUAUCGGCGUGCACCUUUCGUCCUGAAAGCUAAAACAAUUUCAUGA